rnacentral:rRNA from 1 species
UACGGAGGAUGCGAGCGUUAUCCGGAUUUAUUGGGUUUAAAGGGUGCGUAGGCGGAUCUUUAAGUCAGCGGUAAAAUGUCCGGGCUCAACCCGGGCCGGCCGUUGAAACUGGGGAUCUUGAGUGGGCGAGAAGUAUGCGGAAUGCGUGGUGUAGCGGUGAAAUGCAUAGAUAUCACGCAGAACACCGAUUGCGAAGGCAGCUUACCAAUCUAUAUCUGACGUUGAGGCACGAAAGCGUGGGGAGCAAACAGG